rnacentral:rRNA from 1 species
AUUGAACGCUGGCGGCAGGCUUAACACAUGCAAGUCGAGCGAGCAGCGGACGGGUGAGUAAUGUAUGGGGAUCUGCCUGAUGGAGGGGGCUAACUACUGGAAACGGUAGCUACUACCGCAUACCAUCAGAUGAACCCAUAUGGGCUUAGGUCGUGGGUGAGGUAACGGCUCACCUAGACGACGGUCCCUAGCUGGUCUGAGAGGAUGAUUAGCCACACUGGGACUGGGACACGGCCCAGACUCCUACGGGAGGCAGCAGUGGUGAAGAUUGCACAAUGGGCGCAAGCCGGAUACAGCCAUGCCGCGUGUAUGAAGAAGGUCUUCGGGUUGUAAAGUUCUUUCGGUAGCGAGGCGUUACCUACAGAAGAAGCACCGGCUAACUCCGUGCCAGCAGCCGCGGUAAUUC